rnacentral:rRNA from 1 species
UACGUAGGGUGCUAGCGUUGUCCGGAUUUAUUGGGCGUAAAGGGCUCGUAGGCGGCGUGUCGCGUCGGGAGUGAAAACCCGCGGCUUAACCGCGGGCCUGCUUUCGAUACGGGCGGGCUAGAGUUCGGCAGGGGAGACUGGAAUUCCUGGUGUAGCGGUGGAAUGCGCAGAUAUCAGGAGGAACACCGGUGGCGAAGGCGGGUCUCUGGGCCGAUACUGACACUGAGAAGCGAAAGCGUGGGGAGCGAACAGG